rnacentral:rRNA from 1 species
CACGUAGGGCGCAAGCGUUGUCCGGAAUUAUUGGGCGUAAAGCGCGUGUAGGCGGCUUUGCAAGUCGGGUGUGAAAGCCCUCAGCUCAACUGAGGAAGUGCGCCCGAAACUGCAGAGCUUGAGUGCCGGAGAGGGUGGCGGAAUUCCCCAAGUAGAGGUGAAAUUCGUAGAUAUGGGGAGGAACACCGGUGGCGAAGGCGGCCACCUGGACGGUAACUGACGCUGAGACGCGAAAGCGUGGGGAGCAAACAGG